CGAGCGAUGAAACUUUAACAGAACCCUUCGGGGCGAAGAUAAAGUGGAUUAGCGGCGGACGGGUGAGUAACACGUGAGUAACCUGCCUUAGACAUUGGGAUAGCCUCGGGAAACCGGGAUUAAUACCAAAUAAAAUCAUAAUGACACAUGUCAUAACGAUCAAAACUCCGGUGGUCUAAGAUGGACUCGCGUCCCAUUAGCUAGUUGGUAGAGUAAAAGCCUACCAAGGCGACGAUGGGUAGCCGGCCUGAGAGGGUGAACGGCCACAUUGGAACUGAGAAACGGUCCAAACUCCUACGGGAGGCAGCAGUGGGGAAUAUUGCACAAUGGAGGGAACUCUGAUGCAGCGACGCCGCGUGAACGAAGAAGGCUUUCGAGUCGUAAAGUUCUUUUAUAUGGGAAGAUAAUGACGGUACCAUAAGAAAAAGCCCCGGCUAACUACGUGCCAGCAGCCGCGGUAAUACGUAGGGGGCUAGCGUUGCCCGGAAUCACUGGGCGUAAAGGGUUCGCAGGCGGAAAUGCAAGUCAGAUGUAAAAGGCAGUAGCUUAACUACUGUAAGCAUUUGAAACUGCAUAUCUUGAGAAGAGUAGAGGUAAGUGGAAUUUUUAGUGUAGCGGUGAAAUGCGUAGAUAUUAAAAAGAAUACCGGUGGCGAAGGCGACUUACUGGGCUCAUUCUGACGCUGAGGAACGAAAGCGUGG
rnacentral:rRNA from 2 species